rnacentral:lncRNA from 1 species
AUAGAGGAAGUGUGCCAUCUGUAAUUCAAGACUGUCUUUCCUGCCCUCCUCAGUGCCUCCUUCACUGAUAUGAAGUUAAAACAAGUGUGCCAAAUAAGUCAUUAACAGGGAAGAAUGGUGAACCCUUGUGUAACAUCAUAUUACAUGAGACAAAUCAGCCACCUGGGAAUAAGUGAACCCAUUUCAUUAUGCUCUCCCUUGCCUGCCACCAUGUAAGACGUGCCUCUUCUCCUCCGACCAUAAUUGUAAGCUUCCUGAGGCUGCCUCAGCCAUGCAGAACUAUGGAGUCUGGAUCUGUAGCCCAGGAUGAAGUGCAGUGGCAAGAUCUCAGCUUACUCCACCUCCCAGGUUCACACCAUUCUCCUGCCUCAGCCUCCUGAGUAGCUGGGACUACAAGGGCCUGCCAUCAUGCUCGGCUAAUUUUUUGUGUUUUUAGUAGAGACAGGGUUUCACCGUGUUAGCCAGGAUGGUCUCGAUCUCCUGACCUCGUGAUCUGCCUGCCUGGGCCUCCCAAAGUGCUGGGCUUACAGGUGUGAGCCACUGAGCCCGGCCUUCAAGUUCCCUUCUUUUACAACCAUUACCGCAGGCCAGCCUAGCUCACAAGUUUGACAGUUUGGGAGUUCUGCUAUUUUUAUGUUUAAGUUUUGGGUCUCAUCCUCAGCUUUCUCUACCCACCACUUAUGGGAGAUAACAGCUUCUUUAUAUGCUACAAAGAAAGAAUUGUAGCUUUCACACAUUCAGUCCUUUGUUGUAUUUUCCAAAGGUUAAUUAAGCUUGGCAAGGGGCAUCCAAUUUGACAAUCUUUAUGGUUAUCAUUUAUCCUGUAUUUAAUCAAAUGCUUGACAUAUUACACAAGCUAGUGAAUUUGUGUCCACUGGUUUACCAUCUCAGUUUACCCCUGAUGAAAACUUGAAUAAUCAUAUGGCUAUCUUGGCUACCUAUGCCAAGUACUAUCUGAGCUUCACCUACUAUACUGAUGGGAUCCUCACUGUUAGUAGGGUGGUACAUAAUUCAGCUUCAAAAUUCCACCAUUAUGUCUGUUUUCUUUAACCACGUCAAGGGUCAACUCUUAUAGGAUAGGGGUUGGAGAGACCCUUGCAACCAGGCCGAGAUGAAAAUUAGCAUGCUGUUUUAUUAGCAAGUGCAUUCAGAGUCAUAAGGGAAGGGAGAGAAGAGGAAGAAAGGGAAGGAAAGAGGAAGACGAGGGAAGGGAAGGAAGUAGUCUCAGACUGAGGGAGUAAUUAGGCUGCAUGCAGUCUCAAAACCUUAGUCAAUCUCACAGAGUUUUAAAUUUAGAAUAACACUUGUGAAUAUCACAAGUUGGGUGAGGGAGCCAGGAAUUUAUACCCCUUUGUUAGUCAGUCAUUAGAAAUGGGCUACCCAAUGAAGGGGACAUGACCUCAGGUGACUCUUUAGCCAAGACAAUUGUAAAUCAGACUGGUGGCUGGGAGCUGUUCGCUGACUGCACUCCGAGCAACGAAGGAAUGAAUCCUUGAGUCUUGAAGAGAAAUCUGCAUGGCGCAUCUGAGUGUCCAGUGCAAAUACCUUCCAUGUCAGUUGCUAUGAAAUAGAUAGGAUCAACAGAUAUUGUCCAAACAAUACUGGGUGAUAUUACAGUCAUGUUUUAUUUGCUUAACGUCUUGCUGUUGAAUAAGUGAAUAACUCACAUAUAUGCUUUUAGGAAUUCAAUAUUUGGUUAUAUCCAGUCGGCAUGCUGGUCCAAGACAGAUCAAUACAUCCAAUAUAAAAAUGAAAACUUGCAACUAGUGCAUAGCUUGAGGACAGUAUCUAUGUAUAGAAACACAAUGUGUUCAAUUUGGCCAAAGCAAAUUUGUAAGACUUUUAGAGAUUGCACACUUACUGUGUCCAAAAAACCCCUGAAAGACUGAACUGUAAAAGUAGUAUCUAUUUUAUGGCAAUAAGGUAUACUAUUCUUAGAUAACAGGAAUCAGUUAAAUUGAAUUUGAGUUUUUCUAGCACCUAGAAAUUACUUCAUAAUUCUAUUAUCACUAAGUGCAGUAAACAGCAGGGUGUAGAGGAUGUCUAAAAUUUAAUUGGAGAGCUCUAUUAAGAGAUAAAGAAGACAUAAGCCAGGAAACAGACAUUGAUUAUAGUCCAGAAAAUUGAGCUUAAGAGGGGGUUAAGUAAAUUAGAAUAAUAAACUUAAUACGUUCUACUAGUUCUAUGAUAUGUCAAUUGUACUGUAAGAAAACUGUUCUGUAGUCAGGAAAAUUUACAUUUCACUAAGUUAAGUAAAAUUAAUUAUUACCAUUAACUAUAAGGACAAAUUUAAAUUUCAGGACUGAAGGAUUCACUCCUUAUAGUUAAGUAAAAUUAUUACUAUUAAGUAAAUAACUAUUGCUACUUACAUAGUACUUAAUAGCAAUACUUAAUUUUACUUAACUAUAAGGACAGAUUUUCUUAACUAUAGGUACUUGCCAGACUCAAAUAUUUUAAAAUACUCUGUUAGCACAAGGCUUUUAAGAAGCAGAUGUCAAGAUGGGAUUAGAUGUACAAGAGAUAAUUUUCGUAUUUAAAAAAAAAAAACCCCAUGAAGUCUAAAGGGGAUGGUAGCAGGAAAAUGCAGGAAGAGCCUUUCUAUCAUGGUGGAGUUACGACACCCAUGAAAGGUGAGAUGGAAGGAAGGAGGAUUGGGUAGAAGAGCUUCAGAGAAAGUGUCGUCCAGACAAUGCGGAGACCCUGGAACAAAGCUGUCAGUCAGAGGAGUCCUGCAUGGCGGGUAAUAGUCUGGCUCUAGUACUCUUGCUGUGUCCAAUCACAGGCUGAGCAUAGCCCUGGAGGAUGUGUGGGCUUUGGUAUCAAGGCCUUAAUGGAUCUGAAGUUGCAGUAGCUGGAGUCUGUCUACUGCCUUUGUUGUCGCAGUUUCUCUUAAAAGGAAAUCUGACUGGCCACAAUUUCAUGACUACCUACAUAUGGUAAUAUGCUAAUACACUAUGAAUUUAAAGGAGAGGGAUACAGAAAGCUCUCUCCAAAAUUAUUUUUGGCAACAUAGCCCUUAUAAAUGAGUGCUCUGUGACUUGGACAUCUGGUGUGAAGAAGAUAAAAUUGUUUUAUUUCUAUUUAGAAUAACAUAUAACAAAAUUUACUAGUCAGGUUUUUUACUAGCAACAGAAUAAAAUAAAAAUAGAUGAUGUCACCGAAGUAAAAAUAUAUAUUGUGAAUUAGCAAUAUCAUCUGACAUACUGUGUGUUCAAAGGGUAAAAAAAAUUACUUAUCAAAUACACUUCAGAAUUUCAAAUCCCAUAUUAGAUGAAUACGUCUUUCUCCACAAAACUCUUUUUCUCCCUAAAUUUUCAAAUGUGUCACUUUCUUUUGGAUCUCCCCUCAUAUUUCUCACUUAAAAAAAUAGCGGAUGGUUCACUUUUAUUACUACCGAGUUUGUGCUUACAGUUAAAACAGUUUAUGCAUUUCAGUUCUUAAGAGAGCCUUAUGUAUAGAAAAUCUUUAUAAAAAACAAUAGUAAGGUAUACCUUUACAGAUGGAUGUUUGGAAAAGAUCUAAGUACUUGCACUACAAAUCUUUGAUUCCCUAGUAUGUCAUUGUGGCCGUUCAUAUUUCGCGCUGUGAGGUGUAUAGUUAGCUGACAGCCUCCCUCAUACCCUCACCCUAACCCCCGAUCUUGUGCUGAAUGCAACCCAUUCUUCUAGCAAGAUGCUUUGUGUCAGGGAAUCCCUAUCCAUUUGGCCAAAGUUUCUUAAAACAGAGCUCUAGUCUGAAACUCUUUCUGCUCAAUCCUGCUUUCCCCCUUUCUCUUCCAAAGGCAUUUCCCUUAACAAAUGUCUUGUAUGUUGAAUCCCAAAUUGCUAUCUGCUUCUCAAGAGGAUGCAAAAUAAUAGUCACUUAUAUGUAAAUAUUCUCUAGUAUUUUAUAUUUCAUUGUCUUCUUUUCUAAUUCUGUUCUUUUGUUACUUUACCAUUAUUUCAUUAGAAAAAAAAUCCCAAACCUACUGCAUAAGAUCUUUGGGAGCAAAUUCUGUCUCUGUCUCCACCUGUUAACUAGGCUUAAGAAGAGCCAGAGGUAAUACUUCAGUGGCUCAGGGGAGCUCUCUGAAUUGUGCCUCCAUUCUGGACCCCACACCAUUGACACAGCAUCCUUGUACCUGGAUUCAUCCUCUCUGUUGUGCCCUUUCGGAAUGAUAUCUAGGUUGGACUACAUGCUUAGAUUUUGGGGUUUUUUUCCCUGGCUUUUUUUUUUUUUCAUUUCUAGGCAUAGUCUCUUCAAUAGCUCACAGUUCUCUACUCUCAAGUUGCUGGUCCAGACUUGUUUUUCAUUUCCAAUCAGUUAUCAUUUGUCAAUAUCUGUAUAUUCAUUAUUUGAUUUUCUCUUAUCUGUUCCCACAACUACUGCCUUAGGUUCAGCCUUCAUCAUGACUCACCUGCACCAUUGUAAAAGCCUCCUUGUUUGUCAAAAGGCCUGCAUUCAUUUCCCUUCAUCUGUUCUUCACUUUUCUGUGAGACUAUUUCUUUUCUAAACAAAACUAAUCAUUUACUUCCAGGCUUAAAAUCAUCUGCUGGCUCUCCUUUGCCUAGUUACAUGAUCCAAACUCUUUGUUAUGGUAUCUGAACUUUUUGACCAAUCUUUCAUCGUUUCUUUCUGCUUUAUUAUUUACCACUCUUCCAGUCACUUUAUGCUUUAAUAUAACAGAACUAUGUCCAGCUCCUAGAACAUGACAUGCUCUGUCACGCCAUUGCAUUUCUGUGCAUGCUGUUCCUUAAGUUUAGAAUUCUUUUUUUCCUUCUUAUGUUCCCCCAAAACUAUUCAGAAUUCAGGGGUCAAUUAAACAUCAUCACCAUUUUGAAACAUUUUUUACUUUCUCUCCUAGCCAUAAACUUUGUAACCACCUUUUUCUGUCUUGUAACCGCCUUUCUUUCUCCUAUUCAUAAACUUCGUAACCACUUUCCUCUCUCUAGGCCGCCAUAGUUAGACAUUUGUGCAGUAUCCUGUUCUUGCCUCUAUUGGAGCCUCUACAUAGAGCCCACCAUAAUGUACAUUCAUUUACUUGUCUGCUUCUUUUACUAAUCUGUGAGUUUCUUGAGGGUACAAGCAAGACUUAUUCAUUUUGGUCCCCAAAAUGGCAAGGACUUUGCAAAUAGAAGACGGUUAAAAGCGCUGAGUAAACUAUACCUUCUGUAAUAGUCCAUUCUCAUGUAGCUAUGAAGAAAUACCUGAGACUGGAUAAGUUAUAAACAAAAGAGGUUUAAUUGACUCAUAGUUCCACAUGGCUGGCGAGGCCUAGGGAAAUUACAAUCAUGGCUGAAGGCACCUCUUCACAGGGCAAAAGGAAAGAGAAUGAGUGCCAACAACGCAAUGUCAGACAGUUAUGAAACCAUCAGAUCUUCUGAGAACUCGCCCACUACCACUCGCCACUACUAUCUUCUGAGAACCGCAUGGGGAAAACCACCCCCAUAAUUUAAUUUCCUCUAUCUUGUCCUGCCCUUGACACAUGGGGAUUAUUACAAUUCAAGGUGAGAUUUGGGUGGGGACACAGCCAAACUAUAUCAUCUUCUCUUGUAUGGUUAUGUCAAAGAAGACAACGAUUUUCACUCAAGAAAGUUGAGGGCCCAAGAUGAGAAAAAAAGCACAAUGCUUACCAAUGAGUCUUAAUUUAUAAAAAGGAAAAAUCUAACAAAAGAAUAAACAGUUAAAAAAAGAAAAUUAUAGACAUUGCCUUUUUAUGAAUGCUUUAAUCAAGUUACAGAAAGCUCCUGUGGAAUAAUGCAUAUAAGAUUUUUUAACCUCAUUUUUCUAUAAAGUAGUAAAGGAUUCCUGUUUAUUCUUAAAUAAUCAGAAACAUAAAGGAUGUGGCUUGUUUUGAAGCAUGAACAUUUGCAUGGUUUUGUCAAAAGGUCUAGGUUUGGCAGGCAAUCUCCAUAAUAAAUUUUCCACAAGCAGUUAUGGGUCUGCUCUUAGCAAGCCAAAUAAUAACUACUCAGGAAGGACUAGAUUUACAGUGGACCUUAAAAGGGAAAAGUGAGCACAUCCAUUGUACUCUGAAGAUUCAUUGAAUACAAAUAGAAGAAAGAUAUAUUAGGAAAUCAACUUUAGUGACAUUUCAGAAUUUGCAAGUCAAAAACUAAGAUUCCUUAGUAGAUAGAAUAAAGGAAGGGGAACACAGAUACAUACAGUAGUGUUAGCAUUAAAGGAUUGUCGGACUAUGGUCUCUGUAUUCAUAGGGAGCCCACAGGUGCUCCAGAGAGUCAGGGUUGAAGCAAGCAUUGCCUUUCAUUUUUUUUCAUGGGCAGGAAGAGACUCCAGAUUCUACUCAUAAUAAAAAUUCUUUCUUAGUUUAUUUUCUCCUUAAUUGAAAUGAAAUUCACAUAAUAUAAAAUUAACCAUUUUAAAGUGAACAAUGCAGUGGCAUUUAGUACAUUCACAAUGUUCCAUAAGCCUUACUUAAAGCCAAAAUAUUCGUGUUACCCAAAACGGAAACCCCAUGCCCUUUAGGAAGUUCCCCUAGGCUUUCCUUCCUUCAGUCCUUGGCAACCACUGAUUUCUGUUCCAUCUCUAUACAUUUACAUAUUCUGGAUGUUUCUGAUAAAUAGAGUCAUAUAAUAUGUUGACCUUUGUGUCUGGCAUUUUUUUUUUCACUUAGCGUAAUGUUUUUGAAGUUCAUCUAUGUUGUAGCCUGUAUGAGUAUUUUAUUACUUUUUAUGGUUGAAUACUCUUCUAUUGCAAGCGUAUACCACAAUUUGUUUGUCUAUUCAUCUGUUGAUGAACAGUCGGGCUGUUUCCACUUUUUGGUUAUCCUGAAGCAUGCUGCUUUGAACAUGCAUUUUCAUAUCCUUUUAAGGUUCUUAAUCACUAUUGCUCAUUCAUUCACUCACACAAUACACAUUUAUUAGACUAAUUAUGAGUUGAAUUGUAUUUUACACCCAAAGAAUAAGAUGAAGGAUAAGAUAUGGUUUCUGUGGUUUAGAAACUCACCAUCUAGUGGUGGGAAGGGCCAUGAAAGCCAACACGUUUCAAUACCAUUUGUCACUCCUAUAAUAGAAAAAUAAAUGAUGCUCAGGGAGCCAUAGAAUACAGAAGGGAUUGUUUUCAGCUUACUGUCUUUGUACUUCUCCAUUUUGAUUCCUCCUUUUAUUGCCACUUUCAUAGAAAUGUCAUCAGGUUUUUAAUCUCUGAAAUAUAGACAAUUAUCUUUCAUUUUUGAUGAGCAUGUUCUAUUAGUACAUUAGUGUUUGCUUUCUAUUCUAAGUACUAGAAGCUAAUGUAUUUGUUUUGUGAAAAUAAUAAAGAAGUUUAUGGCAAUAAGGGCCUUGUGGACUACUUUUAGUCAAAAUGUCAACAGGAAACAGAAGGUACCCUUGAAGAUAAUUUAAUAAAAUGACAGUUUACAGAGGUCUGGGCAGGAUUAAGGGAAACAAAAAGAGAUAUGAAGUACCCAGGAACUAACAAAACAAAAGGAAACUAUUAUCACUCAAGGAGGAAAUGUGAAGAAAAUAAUUUACCAGGACCUACUGAGAGUCAGAGCCAUGGGAGGUCAGCAUCCUAAGAGGAAUUCCAGUGUUAAAGGGUUGUAGUUUCAGGCAGAACCAAAGAGCUGAGGCAGAGGAAUCAGAGAAAGACAUUUUUCAACCUCUCGCUUAUUGAACUUUUGAGGACAUUUACCAAUCUCUUAUGAGUGCCUCCUAUUGGUCAACUCUAGUCAGAAUCCAGAAGUCAUGAGGGCCUGGAUAAUGCUAAAGGUAUAGCAGUAUGCUGGUGGGGGUGAGGAGAGGGUUGCAAAAAUGGAUGGGAGCAGGAGUGGAAGAACAACCAUCACAAAACACCCUAGCAAGAAGCAGCGGAAGCUGGUCUGUUACUGCUCAAAUCCAUCAGUGGUCUUCCUGCCAAAACAAAGACAUAUGGCUCUAAGAGACUAGCCAAAUUAGUUACUGAGGAAAAGACAAUAAAUGUAGAACUGAGAGGUAAAUUGAGGGCAUAAUUACGUAAACAACAGCAACGGCAGUGGCAGGAAAUUUAGGCAACAUUGGAGCAAUUGCAAAGGACAGGAGGAUCCAGUAAUUAAGGGCCUAGCCAGAAAUUAGGAACAUAUAUGUCAUAGCCUGUUGUAUUCUGUAGAAGUUGGGAGGACUUUACAAUAAAUGCCAGGAUGGUCAGGAGAUCAAGAACUUUGACAAAUAUUUGUGACAUCACUAGAUAAAUCCUUAAACAGGUUAAAGGAGACUGCUUUGUUUGGAAGCCAGUAAUCUUCCCCUAUGCAAAAUUACUGUAACUGGGAAGGAUCAUGUGAAGCUCCCUGUUUAUGUUCUCUAGGUGGAGAAUAGAGGGAGGAAGACAAUCAUGGGGGAGGUCAUCCAUCAGGUUGACCUGAUAGAAUUGGUUUUCUUGAAAAGGCUAUAGAGGAGUUCAGAGCAGAGCUAGGGCUAUUUAAUAUUUCCAAUAUGUUUAUAUGUAUGUGCACUAUCUUAGGAAAAAUAAAGUAUAAUUACCUUAAUUUCAAUAUGUAUCUGUUAGAUAUUUCAACUCAAAUUUCUCUCUAUGAUUAAUUCUAAAAACAAAACAAAAAUAAAAACAUAAUAGAACCUAAGGUUACUAAAGACUUAAAGAAAGAAAAAUAUCAAUUUUUCUCCCUUUGAGCAGAUCUUUUAGUUUGUUGUUUGUUUGUUUUAAAGCAUACAGUAGUUUCAGAAAGCAUUCCCUGCUUGGAAACUGAAUAGAUGAGCCUUAAGCAAUUUGGAAAAAGAGGUGAGCUACCCCCUGACACUAGUUUCAAUAGGUUGUCUUGCUUUCUCCAAUCAACUUGCUGUUCCCAGAGAUAUUCACAUAUAUUUAUAGUUCCUCAUUCAGACAAAUCAACCAUCAAUAUUUGGAACCUAAUAUAUCUUCAUUAAAUGCAAAGGUUUUGAAUCAUUUAGGCAAAGAUUAAAACAUUAUCAGAUUAGGGAUAAAAUAACACUAGCCAAAAAGAAUUUUCUAAUUAUAUUUAUUGGUUUUACUUAAUUUGACAAGAAUGUUUGCCAACAAUAGGUUAACACUAACAAUGAUGAUACAUUUAUAAAUAGCCUGGCAAAUAAAAAAAAGAACAAAGUCCUGUCAUUCAUGGCAACAUGGAUGGCACUGAAGGACAUUAUGUUAAGUAAAAUAAGCAAGAAACAAAGUUGAACACCACAUGUUCUCACUCAUACGUGAAAGCUAAAAAAAAUUGAUCUCGUGGAAGGUCUAGUGUUCUACAGUAAUCUAGAAUGACUACAGUUAACAGUAAUAUAGGCUACAGUUUCAAAUUGCUUAAAGUAUAUUAAAUGUCCUCAGCACAAAGAAACAAUAUAUGUUUGAGAUGAUGGAUAUACUAAUUACCCUGAUCUGAUAAUUAUAAGUUAUAUGUAUCAAAACUAUGUACCCCAUACAUAUACACAAUUAUUAUAUAUUAAUUAAAAAUAAUUUUAAAAUAAAGUUAAUAAAAAAAGUUCUUAAAUCUUGGAACACUUAGCACUUCAUAAACAUUUGCUCAAUACUGAGUCAAUGAAUUUCCAAUUAGAUUUUAAAAUAACUAAUUAACUAAAUAAAUAGCAUGGCAAAAUAUUUUCAAAGUUUUUCAUGCUUUGAUCUCCCUCUCUCUUUUCUUUUCACUCUAAUUGAGCAAACUUAUUCAAAGACAUAUCUAUUUACGAGUUAUCCUAAUAGUAUAUUUUAAAUAGAACAACUGAGUAUUCAUAACAUUUGAACAAUAUACAUAGAUCUUAAUAGUUUUCAAAAUGUUUCAAUAACCACAGAAAAUUAUACAAUUUUGUUGAUUUAAUUUUAACUCACAUAUUCAAUACCUUACAGAGAUUUUGAGGUAAAGUUUUCUGUAUAGUUAUUUGCUUGAAUAUUGCAUACAAAUAUGCAUGCAUGAAUCUAUGUUACAUGGUUUAAAAAUGUGUAGAAGCUGAUUGCCAACAUUUGAAAUAUUUGCUUCCUAGAGUUGUGUAUUAUAAUUGCCAAACUUAUUCUAUCAAUGAAAUAAAAUACCAAUGAAAUAAAAUAUCAAUGAAAUAAAAAUAC